rnacentral:misc_RNA from 1 species
UCUCCGUUGUUGAACCAGCGGAGGGAUCAUUACAGAGUUAUCUAACUCCCAAACCCAUGUGAACUUACCUUUGUUACCUCGGCAGUAGUUGCUGGGCGAGCCUACCCGGGAACGAGCUACCCUGUAGCGAGUUACCCUGGAACGACUUACCCUGUAACGCCUGCCGGUGGACUACUGAACUCUUGUUAUUCUAUGGAUAUCUGAGCGUCUUAUUUUAAUAAGUCAAAACUUUCAACAACGGAUCUCUUGGUUCUGGCAUCGAUGAAGAACGCAGC